GACGAACGCUGGCGGCGCGCCUAACACAUGCAAGUCGAACGAGCGAGAGAGAGCUUGCUUUCUCGAGCGAGUGGCGAACGGGUGAGUAACGCGUGAGGAACCUGCCUCAAAGAGGGGGACAACAGGUGGAAACGACUGCUAAUACCGCAUAAGCCCACGGUGCCGCAUGGCACAGAGGGAAAAGGAGCAAUCCGCUUUGAGAUGGCCUCGCGUCCGAUUAGCUAGUUGGUGAGGUAAUGGCCCACCAAGGCGACGAUCGGUAGCCGGACUGAGAGGUUGAACGGCCACAUUGGGACUGAGACACGGCCCAGACUCCUACGGGAGGCAGCAGUGGGGAAUAUUGCACAAUGGGGGAAACCCUGAUGCAGCGACGCCGCGUGGAGGAAGAAGGUCUUCGGAUUGUAAACUCCUGUUGUUGGGGAAGAUAAUGACGGUACCCAACAAGGAAGUGACGGCUAACUACGUG
rnacentral:rRNA from 1 species